ACACAUGCAAGUCGAGCGGGAACGUUCCCUUCGGGGAACCAGUACAGCGGCAGACGGGUGAGUAACGCGUGAUCAAUCUGCCCUUGGGAGAGGAAUAGCCAUUCGAAAGAGUGAGUAAUACCUCAUAAGACUACAGCAUCGCAUGGUGCAGUGGUAAAAAGUGUUGGGAUCUUCGGACCUUCCGCCCAGGGAUGAGAUCGCGUCCUAUUAGCUUGUUGGUGAGGUAACGGCUCACCAAGGCAGCGAUGGGUAGCCGGCCUUAGCGGGUGGACGGCCACACUGGAACUGAGACACGGUCCAGACUCCUACGGGAGGCUGCAGUGCUGAAUUAUUCGCCAAUGCGCGAAAGCGUGACGGUGCGACGCCGCGUGCGGGACGAAGGCCUUAGGGUCGUAAACCGCUGUCAGGGCUUCGGAAACCGUAGAGGUUAAUAGCCUCUGCGCUGACCAGGCCCAAAGGAAGCACAGGCUAAUCUCGUGCCAGCAGCCGCGGUAAUACGAGAUGUGCGAGCGUUGUUCGGAAUUACUGGGCAUAAAGGGUGCGCAGGCGGCCAUGUAAGUCAGGUGUGAAAUCCCUCGGCUCAACCGGGGAAUUGCAUCUGAUACUGCAUGGCUUGAGAACGAAAGGGGCAAGCGGAAUUCCAGGUGUAGCGGUGGAAUGCGUAGAUAUCUGGGAGAACGCCAAUGGCGAAGGCAGCUUGCUGGGUCGUUUCUGACGCUCAUGCGCGAAAGCUAGGGGAGCAAACAGGAUUAGAUACCCUGGUAGUCCUAGCUGUAAACGAUGGGUACUAGGUUCCGGGAUUCCUGAUGAUUUCGGAGCCGCAGUUAAUGCGUUAAGUACCCCGCCUGGGGAGUAUGGUCGCAAGGCUAAAACUCAAAGGAAUUGACGGAGCCCCGCACAAGCGGUGGAGCAUGUGGUUUAAUUCGACGCAACGCGAAGAACCUUACCUGGGCUUGACAUGCUUGGGACAGCGCUGGAAACAGCGUCUCUCCUUCGGGAGCCCUUGCACAGGUGCUGCAUGGCUGUCGUCAGCUCGUGUCGUGAGAUGUUGGGUUAAGUCCCGCAACGAGCGCAACCCUCGCUACUAGUUGCCAUCAGUUCGGCUGGGCACUCUAGUGAGACUGCCGGUGAUAGACCGGAGGAAGGUGAGGAUGAUGUCAAGUCAUCAUGGCACUUACGCCCAGGGCUACACACGUGCUGCAAUGGUCGGCACAAAGGGUCGCUAAGCCGCGAGGUGGAGCUAAUCCCAAAAAGCCGGCACUCAGUUCGGAUUGGAGUCUGCAACCCGACUCCAUGAAGGCGGAAUCGCUAGUAAUCGCGGAUCAGCAUGCCGCGGUGAAUAUGUUCC
rnacentral:rRNA from 1 species